CUCCAACAGACAGCAUACAUAGAUAGACUCAUGUAAAGCUCGGUACAGAUGAGUAAGUUUCUUUGACAAGUUUACUUUCUCGUGUGUACGGUCAACACUUUUUCCUUGACAAGCUUUGUUGCUCGGCUUUCCCCCGCUCAAAAAAACUUAACAGUGUGUUAACAAGGUUUCUUGGCAAGAAAAAAUUGUCAAGUUUUGCCGUAGUACACAAGAGAAAAUAAAAUUUGUCGAGGAAAACUUGCUCGCCUGUUAAUAGACCAACGUUAAAUUAUAGCAACGUACGUCACAAAUUUACCAACCUUUUUGCAGCCUCAAUUCUUCGUUGAAUACGAAGCCUUCUCGCUGCUAUCCUCUCCUCAUGAUCUGACGAAUCAACAGAAGGUCCUGUAUCUUCUUCGUCUUCGCCUUGAGCGCUCAUUUUGCACUGAAAAUUUUGUAUUUCAUGAACCAAAAAUGUGACCAAAAAUAUAUAUGGAGUUCACUCACAAAACAUGUCGUCGCCAUCAUCGGUCGGCAUGACAACACCUGCAAGUG